GGUUGCUAAACAAAAAGGCAAUGUUUUAAGAACCGGACCGGCCGGUUCAACCGGGAACCGGACACAGCAGUGGUCCGAACUAACUAGUGCUGAGAACAGGUAGUCUGCAGAACCGGAAAAAAACCGUUUGAAACCGUUGCGAACCGUCCUGAAUCGGUGAACCGGGGGCGGUUUUAAAAAACCGGUUGGUUCGGAAUCUUUUGAAAUUAAAAAAAAAAAUCCAUUGUAUUUAACGUUUUUUUUCUUCGCUGUAACCCUAAUCUUUUGCUUUUCUGAGAGUGUGAAACGGUGGAAGGAAGUGAAAGUGUGAAACCAAACCUAUCUCAUCGCAAAACCACCACCGAUCUUGCCGAUCUCUUCGCUGCUUCAGUCUCUGCCACCACCUAUCUUCUUCUUCUUCUUCUUCUCCGCACAAACCUAUCUUCUUCAUUGUUGUUGUUGCGUCCACUGGUAAGGAUUGAGCGCCUGAACCUUUCUUCUUCUUCGUUAUUGUUAUUGCUCAAUACUGAUUUUGCAAUUAUAGUUCGGUUUAAGUUUUACUUCCUUCUUCUUACUUAUAAUUUCAAUCAAACACAUAUAUUUCAACUCUUCUGAAGGUAUAAUGAGAUCUACCAAAAUAAAUAAAUUAAAAUCAUCCAACGGAAUAACCAAAAGCUGCUUUUUUUUUCUUAUAUUAGAUGGUGGAAUGAAACAAAUUUAUCCUAUUGUUAUGUUUUGGUUUCUUAAUUUGUUUCAUAUAUUGCAUGUCAUAUGAAGAACUAAGGUUUUGUUCAAUUUUUAUGGGUUUCUUCUUUAUAUUAUUUGCUUUAGGAAAUCUUGUUUCAACACAGUUUUCAGUUUAAUAUUUUUCGGAAACAAAUUGAUUGGAACAAGAAUAAGUGCUUCAUGUAAAUUCAGAUUGGAAAAGGGUUCUUUUUUUCUUAUAUUACAGUGAAAAAAAUAAAUUGUUUUAGUUUCUAAUUUGUGCUUUGUUUGUUUUAGGUUUUUAAAGUUUCUAUUUUGUUAGUUUGUUUAUCAGCUGUGAAGUAGAAUAAUUAUUUUAAACCAAUUUUACUAAUUUGUUGCUUUGUUUACCAAUUUAAAGCUUAUUUUCUAUUUCAGAAAAUUAUGUCGACAUCAGCAUCAACUUCUGUUGCUCAAUCUUCACAAGCAGCUCCUCCAACACAAGCUGAUGACUCUAUGCAAUCAUGUCGACAAAAGUCAGACCCUGCUUGGUGAUGUAAAAAUUUGCAAAACAGUGGAUGCAGAUACCAGAUUUAGGAUGCUCGAGAGUUUGAAUGAAACUUCAACAAAGAAGAAGA
rnacentral:lncRNA from 1 species